GACGAACGCUGGCGGCGUGCUUAACACAUGCAAGUCGAACGGAAAGGCCCUGCUUUUGUGGGGUGCUCGAGUGGCGAACGGGUGAGUAACACGUGAGUAACCUGCCCUUGACCUUGGGAUAACUUCAGGAAACUGGGGCUAAUACCGGAUAGGAUCUCCUGCUCCAUGGUGGGGGUUGGAAAGUUUCGGCGGUUGGGGAUGGACUCGCGGCUUAUCCGCUUGUUGGUGGGGUAGUGGCUUACCAAGGCUUUGACGGAUAGCCGGCAUGAGAGGGUGAACGGCGACAUUGGGACUGAGAUACGGACCAGACUCGUACGGGAGGCAGCAGUGGGGAAUAUUGCACAAUGGGCGGAAGCCUGAUGCAGCAACGCCGCGUGCGGAAUGACGGGCUUCGGGUUGUAAACCGCUGUCGCCUGUGACGAAGCGUGAGUGACGGUAAUGGGUAAAGAAGCACCGGCUAACUACGUG
rnacentral:rRNA from 1 species